rnacentral:tRNA from 1 species
GCCCCGGUAGCUUCAAUUGGAUAGAGCAAUCCCCUCCUAAGGGAUAGGUUGCCCGUUCGAAUCGGGCCCGGGGCA